rnacentral:lncRNA from 1 species
AAAAAUUCUAAAAUUCACAUUGAUAAAAACUUCAGCCAAGUUAAAUUUAAAAGAGCUUAAUUGAGCAAUGAACGAUUCGUGAAUUGGGCAGCCUCCUGAGCCAGUAGACUCUGAGAUUCCGGCACAGCCAAGUGGUGGAGGAUUUAUGGACAGAAAAAGGAAAGUGAUGUACAGAAAACAGAAGUGAGGUACAGAAACAGCUGGACUGGUUACAGAACCCCAGAGGCGAAUCUUGAAACAAACCAGGCAUGGAGCCUCUGUGGAAUACUCCUGCUUAGGGGGAGUCAUGAACAAUUAGUCCACCACCAUUGGGCCAAAGUCACGAUAACACCAAUCAGACCUCCAGACCAGCAAUGACCUGAGACAGCCAUGGGGACAAAGACACAGACUCUGUGCCCUGCACCAUUCCCAUAUCUCCCAUGCCAAGUUUUGCUUUAAAACCCCUAUGGUCAAUUUGAAAAGGUAAGAUGCUCCUUUAGAACGCUCAUUUGACAUCUCCAUUUGCCGGCUCUCCAAUUAAACCUGCUUUUCUUCCCACCAGCCCUCACCUUUCAUGUUUGGCUCAUGUAGCUGAACCUGGGUCCACUUACAGAGGUUAACGAUCAUGCCUGCAUUUUGCCCAGUGCUUCCUCAAUUCUGGAGCACCUCUCUUGUUUGCCCAUGGUAGCCUGAGCUGGGCAGGGCAUCCAAACAGAAGUUAAUGGAUUUAGGCUGGGCACGGUGGCUCACACCUGUAAUCCCAGCAC